AUGGCUCAGGAUGAACGCUAGCGACAGGCCUAACACAUGCAAGUCGAGGGGCAUCGGGGCGAGGAGCAAUCCUUGCCGCCGGCGACCGGCGCACGGGUGAGUAACGCGUAUGCGACCUGCCCGUUGCAGGGGGAUAAUCGGGAGAAAUCCCGUCUAAUACCGCGUAAUGCCGCGGGGCUGCAUGGCCCUGCGGCCAAAGGGAGCGAUUCCGGCAACGGAUGGGCAUGCGUGACAUUAGCUAGUUGGCGGGGCAACGGCCCACCAAGGCGACGAUGUCUAGGGGUUCUGAGAGGAAGGUCCCCCACACUGGUACUGAGACACGGACCAGACUCCUACGGGAGGCAGCAGUGAGGAAUAUUGGUCAAUGGGCGCGAGCCUGAACCAGCCAAGUCGCGUGAGGGAUGACGGCCCUACGGGUUGUAAACCUCUUUUGUCGGGGAGCAAAUUCCGCCACGUGUGGCGGAGUCGAGAGUACCCGAAGAAAAAGCAUCGGCUAACUCCGUGCCAGCAGCCGCGGUAAUACGGAGGAUGCGAGCGUUAUCCGGAUUUAUUGGGUUUAAAGGGUGCGUAGGCGGACUGUCAAGUCAGCGGUAAAAUACGGGGGCUCAACCUCCGCCCGCCGUUGAAACUGACGGUCUUGAGUGGGCGAGAAGUAUGCGGAAUGCGUGGUGUAGCGGUGAAAUGCAUAGAUAUCACGCAGAACUCCGAUUGCGAAGGCAGCAUACCGGCGCCCGACUGACGCUGAAGCACGAAAGCGUGGGUAUCGAACAGGAUUAGAUACCCUGGUAGUCCACGCAGUAAACGAUGAAUACUAGCUGUCCGGGGCGAAUGAGCCCUGGGUGGCACAGCGAAAGCGUUAAGUAUUCCACCUGGGGAGUACGCCGGCAACGGUGAAACUCAAAGGAAUUGACGGGGGCCCGCACAAGCGGAGGAACAUGUGGUUUAAUUCGAUGAUACGCGAGGAACCUUACCCGGGCUCAAACGACACAGGAACGUACCUGAAAGGGUUCGGCUCUACGGAGCCUGUGUCGAGGUGCUGCAUGGUUGUCGUCAGCUCGUGCCGUGAGGUGUCGGCUUAAGUGCCAUAACGAGCGCAACCCCCAUCGACAGUUGCUAACAGGUCAGGCUGAGGACUCUGUCGAGACUGCCGGCGCAAGCUGCGAGGAAGGCGGGGAUGACGUCAAAUCAGCACGGCCCUUACGUCCGGGGCGACACACGUGUUACAAUGGCAGGUACAGCGGGAAGCCACCUGGCGACAGGGAGCGGAACCCGAAAGCCUGUCUCAGUUCGGAUUGGAGUCUGCAACCCGACUCCAUGAAGCUGGAUUCGCUAGUAAUCGCGCAUCAGCCACGGCGCGGUGAAUACGUUCCCGGGCCUUGUACACACCGCCCGUCAAGCCAUGGAAGCCGGGGGUGCCUGAAGUGCGCUGCCGCGAGGAGCGCCCUAGGGUAAAACCUGGUGACUGGGGCUAAGUCGUAACAAGGUA
rnacentral:rRNA from 1 species